rnacentral:rRNA from 1 species
AAAUUUGAAAUCUGGCGUCUUCGACGUCCGAGUUGUAAUUUGAAGAAGGCGACUUUGUAGCUGGUCCUUGUCUAUGUUCCUUGGAACAGGACGUCAUAGAGGGUGAGAAUCCCGUGUGGCGAGGAUCCCAGUUAUUUGUAAAGUGCUUUCGACGAGUCGAGUUGUUUGGGAAUGCAGCUCUAAGUGGGUGGUAAAUUCCAUCUAAAGCUAAAUAUUGGCGAGAGACCGAUAGCGAACAAGUACAGUGAUGGAAAGAUGAAAAGAACUUUGAAAAGAGAGUGAAAAAGUACGUGAAAUUGUUGAAAGGGAAGGGCAUUUGAUCAGACAUGGCGUUUGCUUCGGCUUUCGCUGGGCCAGCAUCAGUUUUAGCGGUUGGAUAAAUCCUCGGGAAUGUGGCUCUGCUUCGGUAGAGUGUUAUAGCCCGUGGGAAUACAGCCAGCUGGGACUGAGGAUUGCGACUUUUGUCAAGGAUGCUGGCGUAAUGGUUAAAUGCCGCC